rnacentral:rRNA from 1 species
AGGAAUAUUGGUCAAUGGACGAGAGUCUGAACCAGCCAAGUAGCGUGAAGGAUGACUGCCCUAUGGGUUGUAAACUUCUUUUAUAUGGGAAUAAAGUGGUCCACGUGUGGAUUUUUGUAUGUACCAUAUGAAUAAGGAUCGGCUAACUCCGUGCCAGCAGCCGCGGUAAUACGGAGGAUCCGAGCGUUAUCCGGAUUUAUUGGGUUUAAAGGGAGCGUAGGCGGAUUGUUAAGUCAGUUGUGAAAGUUUGCGGCUCAACCGUAAAAUUGCAGUUGAUACUGGCAGUCUUGAGUGCAGUAGAGGUGGGCGGAAUUCGUGGUGUAGCGGUGAAAUGCUUAGAUAUCACGAAGAACUCCGAUUGCGAAGGCAGCUCACUGGAGUGUAACUGACGCUGAUGCUCGAAAGUGUGGGUAUCAAACAGGAUUAGAUACCCUGGUAGUCCACACAGUAAACGAUGAAUACUCGCUGUUUGCGAUAUACAGUAAGCGGCCAAGCGAAAGCAUUAAGUAUUCCACCUGGGGAGUACGCCGGCAACGGUGAAACUCAAAGGAAUUGACGGGGGCCCGCACAAGCGGAGGAACAUGUGGUUUAAUUCGAUGAUACGCGAGGAACCUUACCCGGGCUUAAAUUGCAAAUGAAUUAUGGGGAAACCCAUACGCCGCAAGGCAUUUGUGAAGGUGCUGCAUGGUUGUCGUCAGCUCGUGCCGUGAGGUGUCGGCUUAAGUGCCAUAACGAGCGCAACCCUUAUCUUCAGUUACUAACAGGUCAUGCUGAGGACUCUGGAGAGACUGCCGUCGUAAGAUGUGAGGAAGGUGGGGAUGACGUCAAAUCAGUACGGCCCUUACGUCCGGGGCUACACACGUGUUACAAUGGGGGGUACAGAAGGCCGCUACCUGGUGACAGGAUGCCAAUCCCAAAAACCUCUCUCAGUUCGGAUCGAAGUCUGCAACCCGACUUCGUGAAGCUGGAUUCGCUAGUAAUCGCGCAUCAGCCAUGGCGCGGUGAAUACGUUCCCG